rnacentral:rRNA from 1 species
CGGGUGAGUAACGCGUGGGUAACCUGCCUUAUACAGGGGGAUAACAGUCAGAAAUGGCUGCUAAUACCGCAUAAGCGCACGGAGCUGCAUGGCUCAGUGUGAAAAACUCCGGUGGUAUAAGAUGGACCCGCGUUGGAUUAGCUUGUUGGUGGGGUAACGGCCCACCAAGGCGACGAUCCAUAGCCGGCCUGAGAGGGUGAACGGCCACAUUGGGACUGAGACACGGCCCAG